GCAAAUUGUUCUCAAUAGUGUAUCUUAGAAAACGAUUGUACUGGGUUCGAACUAUGUGAAGUCGAUUCGUCUCAGAUGUGUAGGUUUACAAAUGACAGUCCAAAUCCUAAGCCUUCUCUGGACAAUUCUGCUCCUUGUCGUCACUUUAUCAAGAUUUCCCACGACUUGCACACUUGUGACGGGGUUUCUACAACUGGUGAAUGCAUCGGAGACAACUCUCAAAUAUCGGCGACAACCAGCGUAACUUCCGGUGUGACAGUGCAGACAACGACAUCCGGGUCAUAUUCAGAAUGAAAAUGAUGCAAAAGGGACCCAAGAGGUCGAGAAGCUACAUGUAACAGUGGAUAUCAUCAGAGAAAAACAAGAAGGAUUGAAGAAUACAGAAAACGAACUAUUAGACCG